CGGGAACCCGGCCCGGCCGUACCCCGCCGGCCUGCCGACCCGGGUCCGGGGGCCCAGUUGGCGCCCGGACCAGCUCUCCGGUCUGCGUCCUGUAGAUGGGAAAACUGAGGCCUGAGAGGGCGCGAGGGCGGGGACGAGGCCGAGGACUCGGGUUCGAAUCUCGAGGACGCCAGUAGCCCGCUCUGAGGCCGCGUGGGGCUGGUGGAGGAGCCACCGGUCGGGCCCCCAAGACCGGCUGACGUGGGCCUCGCCUCGGGCGACUCCCGCCGGGCUAGUGGCUGGCCGUGUGGUGACCUUGGGCGAGUUACUUCGCACAGCCACCCAGGGGCCUCUUCUCCAACACGAUAGCACUGCACCCGGAGGGCCUUCAGACCUGAGCUGAAAUCUACACCACCGGCUCUCUGACUAUCAGGCUUUGGACUAUACUUUGGGCUUUCCUGGGUCUCUUACCUGGCAGACAGCAGAUUUUGGAACUUUUCAGCCUCCAUAAUCAUGCCUUUAGGAAGUACUUAAUAUGUGCUGAGCACAUACAGAGAUAGGUAAGUCCAGGGUAUCUCUGAGGUGCUCACAGUCUGAAGAGGAAAACAGCCCCAUGAUGCUUGAGCUGUGGAAGGCUCACCUGCAAGGGUGAGCUAGCUGAGGAAAUCAAUGUGUGUCCUGCACUGUAGAAAUCAGUUUGUUUCCCCAGGGUUAUUGCAUUAGAUUCUUAUAAACCUCUAAGGUAGAUGCCUUUUACAGAGAAGGGAGCUGAGCUCUAGAGAGGUUAAGGAACUUGCCUUAGAGGCAAGUCCACUUAGUGUGGGUCAGAUCCAGGAUUCUAACCCAGUUCUUCUGAUUUCAACUUAGUUGGAUAAUUAAAAUUGACUAUAUAUUU
rnacentral:lncRNA from 1 species